CUCACGAUGGGGUGACGCAUAAGGAUAAGCUGGACCUCCUAUGGCUAUGGGGUUCGAUACGCGUAAGCUGGAUUCUCUAGGCAAAUCCGGAGAGUCUUAACAGUGAGGUGUAAAGCAGUAAGCCGUAUGGCUGAAAGCAGCUGAUUUCAUGGUGCCAAGAAAAACCUCUAAGGAGAGAAAUUGGGAGCCGUACCACAAACCGACACAGGUAGACGAGGAGAAUAUCCAAAGGCGCUCGAGUGAAAGCUUGUUAAGGAACUCGGCAAAUUAGACCCGUAACUUCGGGAGAAGGGUCGCCACUGGGGUGCAAGCCCUAAGUGGCCGCAGUGAAACGCGAACGGCGACUGUUUAACAAAAACACAGGUCUCUGCAAAGUCAAAAACGACGUAUAGGGGCUAACUCCUGCCCGGUGCCGGAAGGUUAAAAGGAGAGGUUAGCCGCAAGGCGAAGCUUUGAAUUGAAGCCCCGGUGAACGGCGGCCGUAACAAUAACGGUCCUAAGGUAGCGAAAUUCCUUGUCGGGUAAGUUCCGACCUGCACGAAUGGAGUAACGAUCGUUCGACUGUCUUAACGAGUUGCUCGGCGAACUUGUAGUACCGGUGAAGAUGCCGGUUACCCGCAGCUAGACGAAAAGACCCCGUGCACCUUUACUAUACUUUUACUAUGAGUUACGGCCAUUGCUGCGCAGGAUAGGUGGGAGGCUUUGAUACCAGACUUUUGGGUUUGGUGGAGCCAACGGUGAGAUACCACCCUGCGAUUGUUGUGAUUCUAACCUCCUCCCCUUAUCGGGGAGAGGGACAUAGUAAGACGGGUAGUUUGACUGGGGCGGUCGCCUCCUAAAUUGUAACGGAGGCGCGCGAAGCUACACUCAGGUCGUUUGGAAAUCGACCGUCGAGUGCAAAGGCAUAAGUGUGGUUAACUGCGAGACCUACAAGUCGAGCAGAUGCGAAAGCAGGCCUUAGUGAUCCGGUGGUUCUGUAUGGAAGGGCCAUCGCUCAACGGAUAAAAGGUACGCCGGGGAUAACAGGCUGAUCGAAGCCAAGAGUUCAUAUCGACGCUACGGUUUGGCACCUCGAUGUCGGCUCAUCACAUCCUGGAGCUGUAGAAGGUUCCAAGGGUUAGGCUGUUCGCCUAUUAAAGUGGUACGUGAGCUGGGUUCAGAACGUCGCGAGACAGUUCGGUCUCUAUCUGCUGUGGGCGUAGGAGAUUUGAAGAGGGCUGUCCUUAGUACGAGAGGACCGGGAUGGACGAACCUCUUGUGUUCCAGUUGUCCUGCCAAGGGCACGGCUGGGUAGCGAAGUUCGGUUGUGAUAACCGCUGAAUGCAUAUAAGCGGGAAGCACGCUCUAAGAUGAGAUCUCCCAACCCAAAAGGGAAAUGAAGGGCCCAGGAAGACCACCUGGUUGAUAGGCUGGAGGUUGAAGCACAGUAAUGUGUGUAGCUUACCAGUACUAAUCGCCCGUUCGGCUUGUCC
rnacentral:rRNA from 1 species